AACGAACGCUGGCGGCAGGCUUAACACAUGCAAGUCGAACGCCCCGCAAGGGGAGUGGCAGACGGGUGAGUAACGCGUGGGAAUCUACCGUGCCCUGCGGAAUAGCUCCGGGAAACUGGAAUUAAUACCGCAUACGCCCUACGGGGAAAGAUUUAUCGGGUAUGAUGAGCCCGCGUUGGAUUAGCUAGUUGGUGGGGUGA
rnacentral:rRNA from 1 species